UCUACACUAUUAUUAUUAUGGUAAUAUAAUUAAUGAUGUGAAAUAUUGUUAAGACAAUAUAAUUAAUAUGAGUGAAAUAUGGAAAUACAAUUAAUGUAGUACUGCUAUCUUCGUUUCCAAACAAUUUUCAGUUAUAGUACUAUUCAUGUUUCCAAACAUUACUAAAGUGUACUUCAGUUUUAAUAAUAUAGAUUGAUGUUGCUGAAUGCUGCAUCACAUGUUUCAUGAUGUGUAUUUUAUCACACCUUUCGACAUCACAUAAUUAUCCAUAUAUAUUCACGUGGUACAAAGUACAAACAUCUUAACAAGUUCUCUUGCACAUUCAAACCCAGCCAAAACAAGUUUUUUUUUUCUUACAUGGUUAUUUUUUUUACAACUUGGAUUAGCUCCUUUUUAACAACUUUCAUAAAAGAAAGAGAGUUCAAGGUGGAAAAUGAAUUCAUUUAAAAUGUAUUUUGGUUUUAUUUAUAUUUAUGACAAAAGUGAUUAGGUAUCUUCCAAAUUAGACAUGUAUAUCAGCAGUUCACUGUUAAAAAAAUGUUUUCAGUAAAUUAAUUAGGUAAAGAGUCUUCAGUCUUGUCAAUGAAACAAAUUUUAAACCAUCAUUUGAGAUUAGAAAAAUAAUAAUUUAUAUAUUAAGUAAUUAUAAAUUAUCAUGGUGACUCUUUCCAAAUAUUAAUGGUUCUCAUCUCUUAUAAUAUGGGACAUUAUUUCCCAAAGAAGUUAUUUUUGUGUGCUGUCUAUUUAAAAUGAUUUGGUCAAAUGUAUAUGGCAAUUAUUGAGUCUCGUCGCUUGCAACUCUUGAUGAUGUUAGUUUAUAAAAUUGAAGGGUAUCUUUAUCAGUUUACCUUUCACCUAUUGUUAAUUCAACUAGGGGGUUGUCCGCGCUUUAUUAGUUAGUUAUUGUGUGUAUGUUUGAUCUGGUUGUUCCGACUACGUGUAUAUUGAUGUAUAAGGUUGUAUUAAUUGUGGGGGUGGUAUGGAUAAUGUAUAGUUGGGAGUAGGCCUGGGCAAAAUAACCGGAACCAAAGAACCGAACCGAAAUACCCGAAACCGGAACCGGAUCAAUAUCUUCAAAUACCCGAACGGUUCCUAUAUUUUUAUAUCCGAAAUAACCGAAUCGAGAACCGAACGGGUAUCCGAAUAUGUAAAAAUAUUCAUUAUAUAUACAUAUAACAUCACUAAAUAUAUAUUUUUUAAUUUAAAAUUCUAUUAAAGUAUCUGAAAAUAGUUGAGUAUAACUAAAUAAUUAUAAAGUAUCCAAACUACCCGAAAGUAUCUGAAACUAUCCGGAUAGUUUUAUCCGAAAUAUCCAAAGUAAUCCAAGAUAUCCAAAAUCUUUAUCUAAAUCAUCCUAAUUAUUUGAUAUUUUACCUUAAAUAACCGAUAUUUUUUCCAAAUUAUCCGAGCUACCCAAACUAUCCGAACCCGAACCGGAUCCAAAUGAGAACCGAACUUUUUCCGGAUAUUUUUUGGUUCCUGCAUUUACUAUCCGAACCGAACCGAACCCGAAACUACCCGAACCGAACCGAAUCGAAAAUAGGUCAAGUACUAAAUGGAUCAUCUAGCCCCUAUCCAAACUAUAUGAAACCCGAAAUACCCGAACCAAACCAAACCGAUACCCGAAAUGCACAGACCUAGUUGGGAGUUUGAAAUCUUGUUAGUGGUAUAGCUUUUGCAUUUUGUUCUUUUCUUCUUUUUGUUAUUUGAAAUGGGCCUUGUGUUAUAAAAAAAUAAUUUAUUAUUGCUGUAAUAAUAUUUGGUUGAAGAUAUUUUUUUACUAUAUUCUGUUAGACUCUAGUAUAAGUUUCAUUAUUAGAUUUAGUUGUAUUUUUAGUCGGCCCUGUUGUUUGCCUUUAAAAUUUUUAUAUUGAACGUGUAUAAAUUCUAAAAAUUUUAAAAUUAAAGGGGUAUUAUUGAGAAGUCAUCAAUAUGAUUUUAAUGUAUGUAUACGUAAACACAAAUCAUAAAUGCAGAAUCAUUAGCCAGUAUAUCUGUGUUUACAGACCAUUGUAAAUUUGAAUGAUGAUACUAAAUUUUGUAUUUGAUUUUUCCAUAACUUUUUUGCCAAGUUUUUUAAAUUUGUGAAAUAAUUUAUGUAGAGUAAGAUUGGACCAAGUUUUUUUCUUAAGAAUCUAAACCUCUACCGAGAAAUGUAACCGGUAAAGAUAGUUCCAAUAAUUUAAAGUAAAUGGGAGGAGUCUUAAAUGAAACCAAGAUUGAAAAACAAUCCGUAUCUAUGGGUUUUGUAUUGUUGAUGAACUCAAUUGCAGGAAGUGUGUGGUGGGGAUGGAGUAGCCAUUCCUAUCUGUUACUUCCUUCUUCAUACGCACCUGCAGUGUGUUUUUUUGGUUAAUCUAUUUGACCUUUUUAGCUGCGAGAUUAUAUAACCCAUAUAUUUCAAGUAAACGUAAGUCAGAACGUCUGCUGUUCUGUUUUGAAUAAUGUUCAAGCAUUUUUUUUGUUUUUCAGGGCAGUUGCUACACGUUGUUACAUUUUAAUGUUAAAACGUUGAAGUUUUUAUUUGCCUAUAUUUAUUACGAAUGGGAACUUUGUUAACGGAUGAGUAAAUAAACGACGUAUAGUGAGUUGUUUCUAUGAUCGCCGGGUUAGAGGAUUGAGUAAUUAAGGCACGCGACCUAUUACUGGCGUCGUUAUGUGAAGCUCAUGUUUGUAAAAUAAAAUGGUUUCUCCGUUCAUUUGAUUGGUAUAGGUGGUUUAAGCUAAGUAUUAAAAAGUCUGAUUAGGAUUAUGAAAGUAAAUAACUUUUUUCAGAGUUUGGGAUUAAAAUAAAAGAUGAAUUUUGAGUCACAUCACAUUUGUUCAGCCUAUUAGAAAUGAAACAUGUUCUUCAAUCCACAUUACGUGCAUGUGGAUCGCAAGUAUUGAGCAUGAAGCUGUGGUCUGUGGACUACCCCACAUCACCAUUUGCAGAUAUCAUGUGAAAGCAGUAAUAAAUCAAUUAUUAUAUCCGAGUUUGUGACGCAAUAUGUGAAAAAAUAGUUUGGGCCGGAAUAUGUUAUAAGCAGUUAGAGAAAAUCUUAUUGGAUGAGUAAUGUUCAGUGUAUGUCGAUCGAAACAAACAUCAAGUCUAAAG